rnacentral:misc_RNA from 1 species
UUUUUUAAUUUUAUUUUUUCAUUAUUCUUAACGGACCAAUUAAUAAUCUUUAAUUUGUUGGUGUAUUACAAACUUUCCACUGCUUGACAAACAAAUUACAAAGAAGACAUAAUUUUUUUUUCGAAGGUAUACAAAUGCACCCAGGUGAUUCAGUAACAGGACACACUCCUUGGUAAAACAUGUUAACCCAUAUAAAUCACUUAUACACGCUAUCCACAACCGAUGUGAAAUCCGGAAGGACUAGCCCUCUACAUAACGGACCACGUGAGCACGACUCAUGUAUGGGGGGUUAAGCCCACACGCACACCGGCUCAACCUCUCGAAAGCUUUGGUCUUUUUUUUUUUUUAAGGUAUACAUACACAUACCUAAAUGAUUCAAUGACAGGACACACACGUUGGUAUAAUCAUGACAAUUUUAUUAAGGCAUGUUAACUUAUAUAAAUCACCUACACACGUUAUCCACAAUCAAUGUGGGGAUCUCGAAGGAUCAAGAAGACAUUAUUGGACUAAAUGGAAUCAAGAUAAAAGAUCUACUGAAAAUGGCCACUUCCUUUGUCAGUUGGCAUGAUGUCCUCAUCUCACUCAGGAGUUGAUAAAUCAGUAUUGUUUGUUUUUGGAUGGAAUUGAUGGGCAUGCUUGUUUGUUUUGAAGAUUUUUUUUUUUACAGAGUCUAGAAUAGGAAGAUAUGGGAACAAUCCCACAGGGUCAAGAAUUUCAGCUGGGAAAAUUGAUAUUAGAUUAAACAAUUAAUGGAGACAAGCCAACCACUACUUGUGAACUUCAUCAGGAGGCAAAACAAAUUAGCAUUGGUAAAUAAUAAAGACAUCCACAAGCCGACCAUACAUACCUACUAAAGCACGAAUACUGUAUAUGCUCAUGUAUCACAUGGUAAUUACUAAAUACUUUAUGGGUUGCGGAAGAAAAACAGAAGAAAAACAGUCUUAGAGGAGCAAAAGUUUUAGCUGGCAUGUGCUCCAUGUCUACCACAACAAAUUGAGCAAUCCGACUAGGAAACAAAGACAAAUAAAAGUGCCUUCAAAUUUUUAGAUCAUCGACAGACGAACCCUUUAACAAGGACUAUCACAUGUAACAAAAUAGAAAAGGAUCUAGUUAAUUACCUGCAGAGAGGAACUUUGCAAGAAUCGAGGUGGUCACACAUGGAAGAAUGAAGUCUUAGUAGCUGCCACAUCCUCUUGCAACGGGAGCACCCUCCAUUUACCCGAUUCCUACAUGUCGCGAAGUGCUUGAUCAGAAGCUGCAGGCCCUGACAUGUGGAGAACUUGCUGCAUGGGCCUCUCUUCUUGUUGGGCUGAACGUCACACGGCCCAACGCUCGUGCACCCUUCGGUGCAUAUGUGCU